GAGGAUCAUACAUGUCGGGACAUGCGAUCAAAUUUCCGCUGCAAUUUUGCCAUUUGGAUUUUUGGUUUGACCACUUUCCCUGCAAUUCAUUCACAUGAAACAUAGAAAAAUAAGACCAAAAUCUUAAAAAGCACUGUACUUUGGGUAUACCAGUGGACAUCAAUGGUGUUUCCUCCUUCAUCUGAGGUGCAGGUAUCGUCUGGUACAUUGAUGUAGUGGAGUUCUGAAGACCAAGUAUAUCUGAACCUUACAUGAUCUGCCCA